UUUCUUAUUCUUCUUUCUCCGUUCUCUCUUUCCUCUAGCUCGAUGCUCUCCGCCAGUCUCUGGCUUCUCUCGUUCUCUCUCUAAAAUACCCACCCUCUAAAACUCCUUCUCUCCUCUCCUCCUCUGAGCCAGUUUCUCUAUCUAGAACUCACUCGCCACUGCCUUCUCUCUGAUGGUUCAAUCGGCCGGCGACGACUUCUACGAUUUCGGCGACGGCCAGCCUCGAGGUUGGUCUUAACCAACUCCUUAUAACUCAGAGGCGGCGAGCUCAAUUCCGGCCAGGUUGUGUCAAAUUGGGUGGUAAUAGGCUACUCGAGGCUUGAACCAGAGGAGGAGAGGAUUAGUUGUUUUCAUGGAAGGAAAAGAGCAGCAGCAGCGGAGGAGGAGUAUGCAGAGGCAAACGUGGAGGAGUGGUUGGGGUCAUCGAUGAGAAAUGUACUGUUCCACAUAACACAUAACCAUUUGUUAAUUGAACCACUUAUACGACAGGCUUUGUUCUUGAAUUUCAAUUUGUUGAUUAUUACAGGACGAUAGGUAAAGAGUGGCAUGUAAGUUAAUUCUUUAGGUUAUAUACAUAUAUAACGACUGACUCAUAUACCAAUCUAACCACUAACCUGAGGAAGACAUCGUCUCAGAAAUAGGGUAAAGAACUGAGGCUCUUCUGUGUCUCUGCACUGUCCGGAAGCAAGGCUCACUCAAUGGGGCUUGAGGAUUUCUGUAUACUUGCAGGUAUUUAGUGAGAGCACAGGGACCUCAGUUAUAUACUAUAGGUGAUGGUCUUUGAUUAGGAGUCCUCCCAUUAAGUAAACCCUAUCAAAGAUGAACUUUAUCACCGAAGAUUACUUGUGCAUAAAUCAGCUAGAAGAGUUCUAGUUUAUCUAAGAAUGUUUCUGACUUGUAUACCUAAGUAAUACAACUCCUUAUAAGUCUGCCACAUGUGAUAAAGUUAAUCUCCUUAUCGUCCCAAAAGACUUUGUACAAAUCACAAAGUGUUUGCUCUCAAAUAGAACUUACAUGGCACUUUUCUUCAUCAGUUGCAUUCCAAGCAUUACUUUGGGAGAGGUAUAGAGUCUGUAUACUUAACUUUUUAUAUUUCAAUGUACAAAUACUUCCCAAUGGAACCGCAAAAUUGGUAACAAACACCUUGAAUGCUGCAUGUCAUACGAAACCAACUAUGCUCAUACGUAUUCAUGGGUUUCUUAUGAAACAUUAAACUAUGGAUUGCUCCUUUGCUACUUGAACACAUAUUCGUUUUAUAAAGAUCAUGUCUGUGAAAAAUCAAUUUAAAUGUA